GCGGCGGACGGGUGAGUAACACGUGGGUAACCUGCCCAUAAGACUGGGAUAACUCCGGGAAACCGGGGCUAAUACCGGAUAACAUUUUGAACCGCAUGGUUCGAAAUUGAAAGGCGGCUUCGGCUGUCACUUAUGGAUGGACCCGCGUCGCAUUAGCUAGUUGGUGAGGUAACGGCUCACCAAGGCAACGAUGCGUAGCCGACCUGAGAGGGUGAUCGGCCACACUGGGACUGAGACACGGCCCAGACUCCUACGGGAGGCAGCAGUAGGGAAUCUUCCGCAAUGGACGAAAGUCUGACGGAGCAACGCCGCGUGAGUGAUGAAGGCUUUCGGGUCGUAAAACUCUGUUGUUAGGGAAGAACAAGUGCUAGUUGAAUAAGCUGGCACCUUGACGGUACCUAACCAGAAAGCCACGGCUAACUACGUGCCAGCAGCCGCGGUAAUACGUAGGUGGCAAGCGUUAUCCGGAAUUAUUGGGCGUAAAGCGCGCGCAGGUGGUUUCUUAAGUCUGAUGUGAAAGCCCACGGCUCAACCGUGGAGGGUCAUUGGAAACUGGGAGACUUGAGUGCAGAGAGGAAGUG
rnacentral:rRNA from 1 species